AAUAGAUACCCAGGUAGUCCACGCCGUAAACGAUGAGUGCUAAGUGUUAGGGGGUUUCCGCCCCUUAGUGCUGCAGCUAACGCAUUAAGCACUCCGCCUGGGGAGUACGGUCGCAAGACUGAAACUCAAAGGAAUUGACGGGGGCCCGCACAAGCGGUGGAGCAUGUGGUUUAAUUCGAAGCAACGCGAAGAACCUUACCAGGUCUUGACAUCCCAUUGACCGCUAUGGAGACAUAGCUUUCCCUUCGGGGACAGUGGUGACAGGUGGUGCAUGGUUGUCGUCAGCUCGUGUCGUGAGAUGUUGGGUUAAGUCCCGCAACGAGCGCAACCCUUGUUCUUAGUUGCCAUCAUUUAGUUGGGCACUCUAAGGAGACUGCCGGUGACAAACCGGAGGAAGGUGGGGAUGACGUCAAAUCAUCAUGCCCCUUAUGACCUGGGCUACACACGUGCUACAAUGGACAGUACAAACGGUUGCCAACCCGCGAGGGGGAGCUAAUCCGAUAAAACCGUCCUCAGUUCGGAUUGUAGG
rnacentral:rRNA from 1 species